UCAAACUGACUCUUUCAGGGACAGCAGGACCUGCAGCCUAUUGCUGAAGAACCUAAGGAAUUCCUUUCAGAAAUGUCCGCUCAGGUCAUCCUGUGCCCUUGGAGGACUGGACACUUGCCCAGAGCUCCAUCUGCUCUGUAGUGUUCCCCACUAUUCUCAGCAUCAGUAGCAUCUCUACCAUCAGCACCACUACUGUCAUCCCGAAGUCUCUGCCUGGAAGGCACAAGGGUCAUUUUGGAUACUGUCUUCAUCUUCUACAUCAUCAUCUGCAAUGAUCUCUUCAAGAGCUUUACGCAAGAAAACCUCCUCUUCCCUGUGACAGGAGAGGACAAGUGAGUGAGAAAGACAGUUUGUAAGCUCACCAGGUGUCCAUGUACAGGAAGAAGAACAACCUGUGGGACAGAAUGGGAACAGGUGCUGUGAACAGGGAUCAGGUGAUCCGCAAAUCAUUCAAUUAUUACUACCACGGCCCCAGAGAACUUGACCUCUCUCCAGCCAAGGUGGAGGACUCCUGUCCUGUUGGGGACAAUGGAGAAGGUGUCAUCUGAGGACACAGCUGUGGAGAAACAACAGACUCUAAACACAGAAUGAGAGAUGGCGAGGAAUGUUCUGGUAUUCACUUGGGUGUGGGAACCAGCACUGCCUUGUGCCAAAUACUGGGUCUUCAUCUUAGUAAGUUCGUGGAGUCCUUUGUGAUUCCCAGGGACCACACCCUCCUUGCUUCUGUGAUUUCCUUGUCCUAUCAGGACCUGGAGUCCUACCUGGCCCUGGUCCUGCUGUGUGCUGCCUUUGACAUCUGCUCUUCUCCCUGACUCCUGGACCUUGUGCUGUUCCUAAUCAUUAUAAAGGGGAUUUAUAGAAUGACUCACAGGCUGUGGUUCAGCUAGUCCAACAAUGGCUGCCUAUGAAUAGAAGGUUGAAGACUCCAGUAGCUGCUCAGUCCACAAGGCUGGAUGUCUCAGCUGCUCUUCAGUACAGG